CAGCUGCUGAAUAAUUUUUUUUUUCUCUCUCGUCUGGCUUUACAAAGAUUAGCCAAUCUCAAGUUUAUAGUUAUUAAUUAUAAGUUAGGGAAUGGGAAACUAUACAAGUAUGGACUUCGUCUGUGCCGGCGCUCGCCGACACACGCGCGGCGCCCCUUUAGAGCGCUUCCCAGUCAGUU